CUGCAGCUAAUUAAGCCGACCAGGUUCCUUUCCCCAUGGGGUCUGGUGUGCAGUGGCUGCAAACAGCAGCUUCCUUGGUUGUGUUUGUAACCUGUUCCUUGUACAGGUUGCCCUAAGGGACCUUGGAGACAGUU
rnacentral:snoRNA from 1 species